GUGCUCCCCCGCCAAUUCCUCCUGGUCCAGAAUUUCAUUCCCAUCAAUAGCUGGGCGGUGAGACGUGAAUGCAUGGACGAGACCGGACCAUUCAACGGCAUACUGGGCGGUUUUGAGGACUGGGAUUUCCUGUUGCGUUUGUGUCCUCGCGUGGCUGUUCGCCAGAUCACCGAAGUGACCUCCGAAUAUCGCAUGACAACAAAUGCGGGCGAUAGCGUCAGCAAGCGUCUUGCCCAGCGCGCUGCGGUGCAGGGGAUAUAUCGGCGGUACGAAGCCAAAGGAUUGGAAUUCGUUGAGCUGGCGAGGGAACUGUACCUUGAAACCCUGGCCUAGCGUCGUGCUGCCGGGAUCGCCGCCGAUUUUUUGCCAGUUGGCAUAGAACAUUGAGGUAAACGCCUGUUUUUCACAGCCCCUUUUCAUUGACCGGGGUGGCGGGUGACUGUAAAAUCUCAGGGUUUUGGGAGUCGUACUUGGUCAUGCGUAAGCGUCUUGUCGCUGGUAACUGGAAAAUGCACGGCAGCCUGGCGGUCAACCAGGCAUUGUUGGACACGCUGAAGGCGGCGCGUCCGGCAGGAUCAACCGGAG
rnacentral:rRNA from 1 species